rnacentral:lncRNA from 1 species
CCAUGUGAUAGUCUGAAAUAUGAUGGCCUCGUGGGAAGGGAAAGACCUGACCGUCCCCCAGCCCAACACCCGUAAAGGGUCUGUGCUGAGGAGGAUUAGUAAAAGAGGAAGGCCUCUUUGCAGUUGAGAUAAGAGGAAGUCAUCUGUCUCCUGCUAAUCCCUGGGCAAUGGAAUGUCUCAUUGUAAAACCCGAUUGCAUGUUCCAUUUACUAAGAUAGGAGAAAACCACCUUAGGGCUGGAGGUAAGACAUGCUGGUGACAAUACUGCUCUUUAAUGCACCGAGAUGUUUAUGUAUGUGCACAUCAAAGCACAGCACCUUUUCUUAACCUUGUUUAUGACACAGAGACAUUUGUUCACAUGUUUUCCUGCUGACCCUCUCCCCACUAUAACCCUAUUGUCCUGCCACAUCCCCCU